rnacentral:tRNA from 1 species
UAGCCAAGGGAUUAAGGCCUU